GCAAGUCGAACGAUGAAGCCCUUCGGGGUGGAUUAGUGGCGAACGGGUGAGUAACACGUGGGCAAUCUGCCCUUCACUCUGGGACAAGCCCUGGAAACGGGGUCUAAUACCGGAUAACACUCUGUCCCGCAUGGGACGGGGUUAAAAGCUCCGGCGGUGAAGGAUGAGCCCGCGGCCUAUCAGCUUGUUGGUGGGGUAAUGGCCUACCAAGGCGACGACGGGUAGCCGGCCUGAGAGGGCGACCGGCCACACUGGGACUGAGACACGGCCCAGACUCCUACGGGAGGCAGCAGUGGGGAAUAUUGCACAAUGGGCGAAAGCCUGAUGCAGCGACGCCGCGUGAGGGAUGACGGCCUUCGGGUUGUAAACCUCUUUCAGCAGGGAAGAAGCGAAAGUGACGGUACCUGCAGAAGAAGCGCCGG
rnacentral:rRNA from 1 species